GUGUUCAGUUUGGCAACACAUAUACUAAAAUUGGAACAAUACAGAGAAGAUUAGCAUGGCUUCUGCACAAGGAUGACUUGCAAAUUCAUGAAGCAUGCCAUUUUUUC
ensembl:snRNA U6 U6 spliceosomal RNA